UACGGAGGGUGCAAGCGUUAUCCGGAUUCACUGGGUUUAAAGGGUGCGUAGGUGGGCAGGUAAGUCAGUGGUGAAAUCUCCGGGCUUAACCCGGAAACUGCCGUUGAUACUAUUUGUCUUGAAUAUUGUGGAGGUAAGCGGAAUAUGUCAUGUAGCGGUGAAAUGCAUAGAUAUGACUUAGAACACCAAUUGCGAAGGCAGCUUGCUAAACAAAUAUUGACGCUGAGGCACGAAAGCGUGGGGAUCAAACAGG
rnacentral:rRNA from 1 species